UACAGAGGGUGCAAGCGUUGUUCGGAAUUAUUGGGCGUAAAGCGCGUGUAGGCGGCUUUGCAAGUCGGGUGUGAAAGCCCUCAGCUCAACUGAGGAAGUGCGCCCCGAAACUGCAGAGCUUGAGUACCGGAGAGGAUGGCGGAAUUCCCCAAGUAGAGGUGAAAUUCGUAGAUAUGGGGAGGAACACCGGUGGCGAAGGCGGCCAUCUGGACGGAUACUGACGCUGAGACGCGAAAAGCGUGGGGGAGCAAACAGGG
rnacentral:rRNA from 1 species